UCGGGAAUUUUGGGCAAUGGGGGAAACCCUGACCCAGCAACGCCGCGUGAAGGAUGAAGUAUUUCGGUAUGUAAACUUCGAAAGAAUAGGAAGAAUAAAUGACGGUACUAUUUAUAAGGUCCGGCUAACUACGUGCCAGCAGCCGCGGUAAUACGUAGGGACCAAGCGUUGUUCGGAUUUACUGGGCGUAAAGGGCGCGUAGGCGGCAUGACAAGUCACUUGUGAAAUCUCUGGGCUUAACCCAGAACGGCCAAGUGAUACUGUCGCGCUAGAGUGCAGAAGGGGCAAUCGGAAUUCUUGGUGUAGCGGUGAAAUGCGUAGAUAUCAAGAGGAACACCUGAUGUGAAGACGGGUUGCUGGGCUGACACUGACGCUGAGGCGCGAAAGCCAGGGGAGCAAACGGGAUUAGAUACCCCCGUAGUCCCUGAGCGGGCUGGCAAGGCGCAU
rnacentral:rRNA from 1 species